CCCAGGUCUUUUUCUCGUCGAACUCCAUCGAUACCUUCAUGUACAGCCUCGCUAACAUGAGGCAUCCUGUCUUUCUCCCCCUUCACAUACUUGGUAUGAUUUUUGUUCUGAUGUUUCAACUCUGGUGGGCAAGCAGUCAGUUCUCCCUUUUCCUUCUGCAACGAGAAUUUCGAACUUUAAGCCCGAAGAGAACGAGCCCUAAGACUUCAUUAAAAUUGGAACAGAACUUUGAACAGGGUUUGUGGGAAGCUUGCCGAAAUAACCUGCGGUGGUUGAGCACGACUCUUCACUGUGGAAAGGCCAGACAAAAGGAAGAAAUGCAUGAUGGCCCAGGAUAGAAAGGAGAGAACUUGGAAAAGGACAGGCAUCAAGAAAAGCUGUCGAAUUUUGCACCUGAUUAAACUGGUGCUAUCGGUUGCACCAUCUGGCAUGGAAAAAGGAUGCACAGGUGCGUUUCUCUUGGGGCAGUAACUCCGGUUAACUCCACGAUACCUGUCCAUCAAAAGGGCACUAAAGAUUUCCCUUAGAACUCCAACCACCAGUCGCAUCGGAAGCAUACCUCGCCAGACCUAAACUCGACAGAUCGCAGUCUUUUACUGUUUUCGAUUGCCUAAGAGGCGAAUUAGCGCCAUCUGCUUGCAACCAAACACAGACAAAACCCUGAUGAUCUUUGUUAUUCGUCCAAGAGUUGAUAUGAUACCGUUAUAACAGGGUAUUCAGUUUCAAGAUUGGUCGGAAUUCUUACAUUACGGCAAUUGAAUUGCUGCAAAUAAUUUACAUCAAUCCUAUAGAUUUCCAAUCGUAUCGUAAUGCGUGAUUAAUGAAACUAAGAGCACUAUUUGAGCCCAACCCCAAGUAAGUAACAACAGUUUCCCAAGAAAACGAUCAUAUUGUAGGGAAAACUCGAUAAUCGCAUAGAUGAGAAUUAGACGAUGUAAACUUUGAGCAAUUAUACAUUUGGAGAAGAAAGACACCUGGAAUACUGAACUUCUUCCAAUCUUCUUCUGUAGACCUACAACAAUGUAGGAAGAAAAAACAUGAUAUUGCUGGAUUGUAAUUACUUGUAUCUUGAUCAGAAGUUUUAACGGAUACCGUGGAAGGCUCCCAGAAAUCAACGAACCUUCUACCUAGAGAAAGGGCAUCUUCAAAUCCACACUCAUAUGUUGCACGACAUUUCAUUUCGGGGAACUGAGGAAUGUUACAAUUCAUAUAAAAUGGUUUUUCAUCACAUAUAUCGUGUUUGAC
rnacentral:lncRNA from 1 species